rnacentral:rRNA from 1 species
CCUACGGGAGGCAGCAGUGGGGAAUAUUGGACAAUGGGGGCAACCCGGAUCCAGCCAUGCCGCGUGUGUGAAGAAGGCCCUCGGGUUGUAAAGCACUUUCAGUGAGGAAGAACGCCUGGUGGUUAAUACCCAUCAGGAAAGACAUCACUCACAGAAGAAGCACCGGCUAACUCCGUGCCAGCAGCCGCGGUAAUACGGAGGGUGCGAGCGUUAAUCGGAAUUACUGGGCGUAAAGCGCGCGUAGGUGGCUUGAUAAGCCGGUUGUGAAAGCCCCGGGCUCAACCUGGGAACGGCAUCCGGAACUGUCAAGCUAGAGUGCAGGAGAGGAAGGUAGAAUUCCCGGUGUAGCGGUGAAAUGCGUAGAGAUCGGGAGGAAUACCAGUGGCGAAGGCGGCCUUCUGGACUGACACUGACACUGAGGUGCGAAAGCGUGGGUAGCAAACAGGAUUAGAUACCCGAGUAGUC